GACGAACGCUGGCGGCGUGCUUAACACAUGCAAGUCGAACGGAAAGGCCCUGCUUUUGUGGGGUGCUCGAGUGGCGAACGGGUGAGUAACACGUGAGCAACCUGCCCUUGACUUUGGGAUAACUUCAGGAAACUGGGGCUAAUACCGGAUAGGAGCUCCUGCUGCAUGGUGGGGGUUGGAAAGUUUCGGCGGUUGGGGAUGGACUCGCGGCUUAUCAGCUUGUUGGUGGGGUAGUGGCUUACCAAGGCUUUGACGGGUAGCCGGCCUGAGAGGGUGACCGGCCCCAUUGGGACUGGGAUACGGCCCAGACUCCUACGGGAGGCAGCGGUGGGGAGUAUUGCACAAUGGGCGGAGGCCUGAUGCAGCAACGCCGCGUGCGGGAUGACGGCCUUCGGGUUGUAAACCGCUUUCGCCUGUGACGAAGCGUGAGUGACGGUAAUGGGUAAAGAAGCACCGGCUAACUACGU
rnacentral:rRNA from 1 species